rnacentral:rRNA from 1 species
UACGAUGGAGGUGCUAGCGUUGCUCGGAAUCACUGGGCGUAAAGGGUGCGUAGGCGGGUCUUAAGUCAGGGGUGAAAUCCCGGGGCUCAACCCCGGAACUGCCUUUGAUACUGGGUGUCUGGAGGUCGAGAGAGGCGAGUGGAAUUCCGAGUGUAGAGGUGAAAUUCGUAGAUAUUCGGAGGAACACCAGUGGCGAAGGCGGCUCGCUGGCUCGAUACUGACGCUGAGGUGCGAAAGCGUGGGGAGCAAACAGG